GGGGAUUUGGCUCAAUGGUAGAGCGCUUGCCUAGGAAGCGCAAGGUCCUGGGUUCGGUCCCCAGCCCCG
rfam:Rattus norvegicus chromosome 2, whole genome shotgun sequence.